UUACCUGGACUGUGAGUUAAUCUAUUGAGACAUUGCUUUACCUUGACUGAGACAACAAACUGUAAUGUACAACAAAUUGUUACUCGGUAUCUUUGCUAACAGUGUCAUUGCUGGUAUUUCAAAUGUAAAAAACCUUGAGAUAAUGUACUAAAUUGAUCAGAAGGUUGUUUUCUUAGUGGAAUACUACAGGAUUUUCUUUAGCCAUCCG
rnacentral:lncRNA from 1 species